rnacentral:rRNA from 1 species
CUGACUGCUAUCGGAUGAUACUAAGCCAUGCGAGUCUUUGCAGUAAUGCAAGGCAUACGGCUCAGUAACACGUAGUCAACCUACCCUAUGGACGAGAAUAAUCUCGGGAAACUGAGCAUAAUUCUUGAUAGAUCAUAAUGCCUGGAAUGGUUUAUGGUUAAAAUGAUUCGUCGCCAUAGGAUGGGACUGCGGCCUAUCAGCUUGUUGGUGAGGUAAUGGCCCACCAAGGCGAUUACAGGUACGGGCUCUGAGAGGAGAAGCCCGGAGAUGGGUACUGAGACACGGACCCAGGCCCUAUGGGGCGCAGCAGGCGAGAAAACUUUGCAAUGUGCGAAAGCACGACAAGGUUAAUCCGAGUGAUUUCUGCUAAAGAAAUCUUUUGCCAGUCGUAAAACCGCUGGUGAAUAAGGGGUGGGCAAGUUCUGGUGUCAGCCGCCGCGGUAAAACCAGCACCUCAAGUGGUCAGGAUGAUUAUUGGGCCUAAAGCAUCCGUAGCCGGCUUUGUUAGUUUUCGGUUAAAUCCAUGUGCUCAACGCAUGGGCUGCCGAAAAUACUGCAUAGCUAGGGAGUGGGAGAGGUAGACGGUACUCAGUAGGAAGGGGUAAAAUCCUUUGAUCUAUUGAUGACCACCUGUGGCGAAGGCGGUCUACCAGAACACGUUCGACGGUGAGGGAUGAAAGCUGGGGGAGCAAACCGGAUUAGAUACCUGGGUAGUCCCAGCUGUAAACGAUGCAGACUCGAUGAUGCAUUGGCAUAAUAGCCAGUGCAGUGUCGCAGGGAAGCCGUUAAGUCUGCCGCCUGGGAAGUACGUACGCAAGUAUGAAACUUAAAGGAUUGGCGGGGAGCACACAAGGGUGAAGCCUGCG